UAAUGUUGUGAUGAUGGGAAAAAUGUUCAACUGUUCUGAGUUGGCUGAAUGAAAACUGGCCUUUCCGAACAUCC